GGACGGCCAUGUGCGCGGCGGAGAGGCCGGGUGGCCACCGAACCUUCCCGCCUGUUCUGCGGGGCGUCUGGGCAUGGCUUUCCCAACCUAGUAACUGCAACUUUUAGCAUCCUACAUGUAGGACUUGGGAAUAUGUGAGACAGCGCCAAGAAUUUAAUCCAGGAGAAUUGACAAGCUUAAAUGAAAUCCAUAUUGCCCACUGAUUUUGUGCAGCUUCAGAUAAGUAAUCUUUCUCCACUUAGCCUUUUGUAACAAUUGAUGUAAUAAAGGUUUGUAGUCUUUGUGUAAUUUAUUAAAGCAUUGUGCCUAAAAUAGAAAAAAAGCAUAGGAACCAUAGGCUGUGUUUUCUUUUGAUUUAAUAUUUUCAUUUCUUCAGUUAAUAGAAAUUUGCCAAAUUCUGAUGUUUUUCUGUAGCAUUAUUUGAAUGAGCAUUGUUUAUUUGAGUGAACAUUCAGCUAAUUGUUACAGAAUCGUUGCCCCCAUUAAUCUUAGGCUGUAGAAUGUAGACAAGUAAAUAGGCAUCAUCAGUAUGAUGAGAGUGAAGCUACUUAAUACUGUGGAAUCAAAUAAAGGAGGAACCCCUUACUAAACCAAGAGGGAGGAAUAAAAUGGAAUGGGACUAGAGAAGCAAUUAGCUUUAAUAAGGGUAUUAUGGAAGACUUUCUAGAUGAGAAGCAGUAAGUACAGAUGUUUGGAGGCAAACACUAGAGAGAUUGUUGGGUAAAGAAGACAAUGCUGGAGGUCUACUUGUGAAGGCCUUGAAUGCUAUGUGCAGAAGUCAGCUUCUGAGAACCAGGAAGAAGAUAUUGAAAGAUUUUAAGUAGAAGAAUCAUAGGAUUGAAUUCAUUUUAGACAGAUCACUGUUACACAAAAAUUUGAGGCAAACAGAAGAGUUUGGAGUAAACAGUAGGCUGUGAGCCAGUAAUGACUUGGACUGAGUUGGUAGCAGGUAGGUGUGAAGAAAAUAAAGUGGUUAUUGGGAGAUUUGGUUAACUGAAAAUGACUGAGGGAGAUAGAUGUCAGGUGACUCCCAAGUGAGUUGGUGGAGCAGCUAGGAGGAUAGUAAUGUCUUCACUGAGAUUAGAAACAAAAUAAGAGAAUAUAUGUUAGGGAAGGAAGAAGUCUUUGUUUUGACCAUGUAAAAUUUGAAGUGCAUGUGAGCCAACCAGUCAUAUAUGUGUAGUGUGCAAUUAGAUAUUCAUUCAACACUGUUGGAAGAGCACCUACUCUGUGCCUGGUACUGUUCUACACACUGAAAUAGGUAAAGCAGCAGCAAAACAAAUGGUUCCUACUCCUGUUUUUUAGAGGGAAACAGCAUAUAAACAAGUUUUAAAAAUAAGAGGAGAGAGAAUAUCCCAUAAAUUCGUGAAGAAGGCUGGGUGCAGUGGCUCAUGCCAGUAAUCCCAGCAGUUUGGGAGGCCGAGGUGGGUGGAUCUCCUGAGUUCAGGAGUUAAAGAGCAGCCUGGCCAACAUGGCAAAACCCCGUCUCUACUGAAAAAAAUUAGCUGGGCAUGGUGGCACGCUCCUGUAAUUCCAGCUACUCCGGAGGCUGAGGCAGGAGAGUAGCUUGAACCCAGGACACGGAGGCUGCAGUGAGCCGAGAUUGCGCCACUGCACUCCAGCCUGGGCGACUGAACGAGACUCCGCCUCAAAAAAAAAGAGUUUGUGAGGAAAAUUAAAAGCUGAUUGGAUAAAGUGUUACUCUGGGGAAAAGAGAGCAAACUUUUGGUGGUUGGUUGAUCAGAGAUGGCCUCACUGAGAAGGUAUUAGAAAGGACAAGAACAGUGUGAGACCAAAGGGAAUAGCUGGGCAAAGGCCCUAAGGUGAAAAAUUUGUUGUGUUUAGGGAAUAGCAAGGUCAGUGUAUCCGAAAUCUAGUGACCAAAAGAAGGAAUGAUAGGAGGUGAAGUCUUCAGCCUCAAUAAGAAGGUGAAGUGCACUGGAAGCCAUUGAAGGAUUUAAGAAAUGGAGUAUCUGGCCGGGCGCGGUGGCUCACGCCUGUAAUCCCAGCACUUUGGGAGGCCGAGGUGGGAGGAUCAAGAGGUCAGGAGAUGGAGACCAUCCUGGCUAACAUGGUGAAACCCCGUCUCUAUUCAAAAUAAAAAAUUUUUUUAAAAAUUAGCCAGGCGUGGUGGCGGGCGCCUGUAGUCCCAGCUACUCGGGAGGCUGAGGCAGGAUAAUGGCGUGAACCCAGGAGGCAGGGCUUGCAGUGAGCCGAGAUCGUGCCACUGCACUCCAGCCUGGGCGACAGAGCGAGACUCCGUCUCAAAAAAAAAAAAAAAAAAAAAAGAAA
rnacentral:lncRNA from 10 species